UGCUAGCAGCCGCGGUAAUACGGAGGCUGCUACCGUUAAUCGGAAUUACUGGGCGUAAAGCGACCGUAGGCGGCUUGUUAAGUCGGAUGUGAAAGCACCGGGCUCAACCUGGGAACUGCAUUCGAUACUGGCAAGCUAGAGUAUAGAAGAGGCAAGUGGAAUUCCGGGUGUAGCGGUGAAAUGCGUAGAUAUCCGGAGGAACAUCAGUGGCGAAGGCGACUUGCUGGUCUAAUACUGACGCUGAGGUGCGAAAGCGUGGGGAGCAAACGGGAUUAGAUA
rnacentral:rRNA from 1 species